rnacentral:rRNA from 1 species
GCUUAGAGAGGGGUCAAUGUCCUAUCAGCUAGUUGGUAAGGUAAUGGCUUACCAAGGCUAAGACGGGUAGCCGGCCUGAGAGGGUGGUCGGCCGCACUGGGACUGAGACACUGCCCAGACUCCUACGGGAGGCUGCAGUCGAGAAUCUUUCGCAAUGCCCGAAAGGGUGACGAAGCGACGCCGCGUGUGGGAAGAAGGCCUUCGGGUUGUAAACCACUGUCGGGAGUUAAGAAAUGUAAGGGUGUUAAUAGCAUCCUUACUUGACUAAGGCUCCGGAGGAAGCCACGGCUAACUCUGUGCCAGCAGCCGCGGUAAUACAGAGGCGGCAAGCGUUGUUCGGAAUUAUUGGGCGUAAAGAGCACGUAGGCGGCUUUGUAAGUCAGUUGUGAAAGCCUUCCGCUUAACGGAAGAACAGCAUCUGAUACUGCAAGGCUAGAGUGCGGAAGGG